rnacentral:misc_RNA from 1 species
UUUUUAGGCCUAAAAAUAAAAUUAUCAGAGUUGUGUAGAGAUUGCUGGGUGCAUUAAAAUACAAUUUCUGAUCAUGUUUACGACAAAAGCAUCAUGGUUAACGCUUAAGGUACAAAGGAAACAUCAGCUUUAAGCUUAUCUUUGAUCUAUUGAUGGUCAUCAGCAACGAUAAUAUCAUCAUCAUCAUCACGAUAAAUACCCUCAUCCAUUUGCCACACUUGCAGAGUGUUGUCAUCAGCUACACUUGAAAUGACCCAGGGCUUAUUUUUGUUCCAUGAAAAAUCUGAGAUCUUAGCCUUGUGACCACCAUGAGAGAAAAGAAGUUCAGGAGGGCCAUCAUCAGCAUCUAACUCUAAUUGCUCCUCUCCAAUCCUGUUCAGAUCCCAAACAUUAACCCUUCUGUCAUCAGCAGUAGAUGCUAGUACCGUUUCAUGAUUAGGGUCCCACUCCACCUGGAAGACCUCUUCUGUGUGACCACUUAAAACAUGCAAAGGCACAGUCAGCUUCCGCAUAUCAAACAGGCCAACAGUAGCGUCUGAGGAUGC